GUCGACGCGCACGCAAGGGGAGUGGCACUACGGGUGUAGUAACGCGUGGGACAUACCCUUUCCUGCGGAAUAGCUCCGGGAAACUGGAAUUAAUACCGCAUACGCCCUACGGGGGAAAGAUUUAUCGGGGAAGGAUUGGCCCGCGUUGGAUUAGCUAUUUGGUGGGGUAAAGGCCUACCAAGGCAACGAUCCAUAGCUGGUCUGAGAGGAUGAUCAGCCACAUUGGGACUGAGACACGGCCCAGACUCCUACGGGAGGCAGCAGUGGGGAAUAUUGGACAAUGGGCGCAAGCCUGAUCCAGCCAUGCCGCGUGAGUGAUGAAGGCCUUAGGGUUGUAAAGCUCUUUCGCCGAUGAAGAUAAUGACGGUUGUCGGACAAGAACUCCGGCUAACUUCGUGCCAGCUACCGCGGUAAUACGGAAGGGGGCUAGCGUUGUAUCGGACUUACUGGGCGUAAAGCGCACGUAGGCGGAUAUUUAAGUCAGGGGUGAAAUCCCGCAGCUCUACUGCGGAACUGCCUUUGAUACUGGGUAUCUUGAGUACGUAAGAGGUAAGUGGAAUUCCAAGUGUAAACGUGAAAUUCGUAUAUGAUUCACUAGGAACACCAGUGAGCGAAGCGGAUUACUGGUCCACUACUGACGCUGAGGUGCGAAAAGCGAUGGGGAGCAGACGGAUUAGAUCCCCUGGUAUUCCCGCCGUUAACAGUGAAUGUUGCCCGUCGGGCAGUAUACUGUUACGGUGGCCGCAUCUACGCAUUAACAUUCCGCCUGGGGAGUUCCGUCGCAUAUUAGGACUCAACGCAUUAGACGGGGGCCGCACAGCCGGCGGAGCAUGUGGUGUAUUCGAACCACGCCCAAAACUU
rnacentral:rRNA from 1 species